AAAUAUCCCUGAUCGAUUGGAUCAUUCCCAACAAAAGGUAUUGGCUGUUCUGCUUGAUCAAGUAGCAUCGAGCAAAGAAUAACAUCGACAUAACCUUGGUUAUGUCGAUGGCUGGGACUAAAAUUAAUAAGAAGAAGAACUAACCCUAACCCUAUCCUAACCUAACCAAACAUUAUUUUGAGCCUAAAAAAAAUAAACAAGUAGGUACAAGAUUAGAGGGGCCCAGGAAUUUGGAAUGGCUUAUUCUCAAAAACAUAAAGGAAAAGUGCUUGUUCCUUGGUUCAACAGUGAGGAAUGGAGAACUAUCUACUCUAUGUUGUUAACCAAAACAAGAGAUAAUUAUGAAAAGGCAGUGAGAAUCAUGAAAAUUUGGAAAAUUCGCACACCAUUAUUAUCAGCGGGAAUUGAAGGGACCAUUAUUAUAUUGGAAGCACUGUUGUGUGAUGAACUAAAUUUAUCCAAGACCCAACUGAUCAACACAUACACAGUGUCUUUAUUGAGGUAAAGUUGUCAAGUUAUUU